GACGAACGCUGGCGGCGUGCCUAAUACAUGCAAGUCGAACGCAGUGGGGACGGGUGAGUAACACGUGGGUAACCUCCCAUCAGAGGGCAUAACACUUGGAUACAGGUGCUAAACCGCUACUGAUGGAUGGACCCGCGGUGGAUUAGCCAGUUGGUGGGGUAACGGCGCACCAAGUCCACGAUGCAUAGCUGGCCUGAGAGGAUGAGCGGCCACACUGGGACUGAGACACGGCCCAGACUCCUACGGGAGGCAGCAGUAGGGAAUCUUCGGCAAUGGACGAAAGUCUGACCGAGCAACGCCGCGUGAGUGAAGAAGGUUUUCGGAUCGUAAAACUCUGUUGGUAGAGAAGCGGUAUCUAACCAGAAAGCCACGGCUAACUACGUGCCAGCAGCCGCGGUAAUAC
rnacentral:rRNA from 1 species